AGGAAAUGUUUGUUCAAGGGGAAAAGACUUUCGAUUUUUGAUGUUAAGGCGUUUGACGACGAAGCACCUGAACCAGGUUUGUUAAGAAGAGAACAGCACUGCUCCGAGUGUGGGAGUUCUGUCUUUGAGAAACAGUCCUGGUGUCCUGGUGGUAUAACACUGGACAUCUGCGUUUUUAUCUUUCUUCCUGUCAUGGUUCUAGAUCUUGCUCAUGAAUAAAACUGCUGAUUUGGGUCCUGCUUCCCCCUGAAAAUGUCGCAUUCUGUGGGACCCUGAGGGAUCAAUGCUGUCAGAUAAACAAGCCAGAGCUGUGGGUUGACUGUGGCUCUUGGUUAGAAAGAAUUCUUCAGCCGCCGUUUGCAGUGUAGCCCACUGCUGUUGCAUGAAGGUCACUGACCUGUUUCUGCUUUUGAGCAGUGUGCUACCCAGAGCAGGAGAGACACCAUGAACUCAUGAAAGAGAAUGCUCUCUCCCUCCUGGUUCAUUGGCUGCUUGUCAGUCUUUUAAAGCUACCUUGGUUUCAUUGAUUCUUUAUAUUGUUUUUGUUCAUUUCUGAAAUGUGAAC
rnacentral:lncRNA from 1 species